rnacentral:lncRNA from 1 species
CAGGAAUUUACCGUACGUUUCUAAACAUGUCAGAAACGCAUGUUUGGAGCACCGUACGUUGAACGCAUGUUUGGAGAACGUAUUGUUUACAUGCGUUUAUGGGAAACAUGCGUUUGAAAACACAUGGUUAACGCAUGUUUAUAUGUGAAACAUGCGUUUGAAGACACAUGGUAAACGCAUGUUCAUGGUAACCGUAUGUUUGA